rnacentral:misc_RNA from 1 species
CCAUUUUUAAGAUAGGAUGUGAAGCUGGGAUCUGUCCUGUUUGGUUCUUACGAUUCCAUUAUCGAAAUAAUUUUUUUUGGGUUAUUUUAAAACAAGUAAAACACACGCAACAACAAAAACAUAAGGAAAACAAACACGCCACUAUAACAGAGCUGUUUUUUGAGAAUUGAGAAACCAAGAUCAUGGCCGUUGUAGAGAAUGCGGGCGCGGAUUUGGGGAUGACUGUGGGUUUGAGCUCAUCAUCUAAUCUAGAUUCGGGUGUGUCAUCGUCAGCCAGCGAUCAGGACCAGCUCAACCCCAAUCACAACCA